GGCUGUGGAACAAAACUCUAAUUCCAACGUAAAUGCGGUUGAAGAAGCAAGUAAUUCUUUAAUGCAUUUCAAUCCCACUUUCGAAUUCCCAAUUGAAUCGAUGGUAGAUUUAAAUUCCAAAUUUCUUGAUUCCAACCGACACUCGGCUGUAACUUUUAAAGAAAAUUCUAGUCCAAAUGUUACAAAGAACUCUACUAAGGAAGGGUCAAUUGAUUUUAUUAAAUCUAGUUUGGUCUCUAAAGGGCAUACCCUGGAGGGAAAAUGUGGUAGUGGUUGUUUGGUAAGGCUUUGAAUAAAACUAUUCGUGGUCGAGGAGGCCGCUUCAGAUUAACUGCAGUUUUCGGGUCCCUCUACCUGGUGCCAUGUUUUUUAUGGCAAUGCUUAUUAGCUCCCAAGUUUAUCUUAAGGCGAAUAAAAUUGCUCGUUGUAUGGGUGGCCAUAAAGAUGGUGUUGGAUCUCCUUUUGCUACUUAGUGGUGGUAUCUGGAUUGAAUGGAGUGAUUCAAUUUAUGUUGAGGUUCUUAAAUGUCACCUUCAAUUCAUUUUAGCCAGAGUUUCAGAAAGCAUUCAUAGAAGAUCGCUGCUAGUAGCUUUUGUCCAUAGAAGCCCUGAUAGUGGUAAAUGGAGGCAUCUUUGGGGAGCUUUGGAAAGUGUCAUUCGGUGGACGGGACCCUGUGGCUUGCAAUUGGGGACUUUAAUGAUAUACUUUUUUCUAGUGAAAAGAGAGGGGUGUAUCUUAGGGAGAAUAUGUUCCUAUUUCGAUGAUUUUAUGGAUUCGAACGAGCUUCUUAAUUUGGGUUUUCGAGGGUUUUAGUUUACUUGGCAAAGGGGGGGUUUGAGAGAUUGGAUAGAGCCAUUUGUAAUGAAGUUUUGUGCUCUAUUUUUCCACAAUGCACGAUGAAUCAUCUACUGAGACUAAAUUCAGACCACAGAUCACUUUGCUUAUCUCUUAUGCCUGAUUACCACUCUUCUAUGAGCUGUCUGUUUAGAUUUUUAGCUGGUUGGGUUGAGCAUCCAACUUUCUUCGACUUUGUCAAACAAAAAUAGAGCAUCUUUAGAAGUAUGUCAAAGGUUCACUCAGUCUUCACUGAUCAGGUUAGACAUUGGAAUAAGGAAGUGUAUGGCCAUAUUUAUUCGCGCAAAAAACAGUUAAUUAGGAAGUUGAAUAAUAUCCAGAAAGCAUCGGAUGUUGCAAGGUCUGUCUAUCUUAAUCGGGUUGAAAUGGAGGUUAGGGAGGAGUUGGAAAAUGUGUUACAUCAUGAAGAACUCUUAUAGCGUCAAAAGGCAAGGUAUGAUUGGUUGUCUUUAGGAGAUCGUAAGACUAAUUUUUUUCAUUCAUGCACACUGUGACUAAGAAAAUAGAAUCAAAUCGCAAAGUUAAAAAUGACAUGGGUGAAUGGAUUUUUGAUGAGGAGAAGUUGAAACUUGAGGCGAUUGAUUUUUAUAAGAAGUUAUAUGGUGAGCAUCCGGGACAAAUGAGAGGACUUCCUCCGAAAGCCUUCUCAUGCCUUAACGAUGGUGAUAUGCAGUUUUGGAGUAAAUCGAUCUCCAAUGAGGAAAUUAAGGUUGCACUUUUUUAUAUGCCCUCUUUAAAGGCUCUUGGUAGUGAUGGAUUUCAUGAUUUUUUCUACCAAAGUCAGUGGGAACAUGAUGGGGCUUCGGUUUGUGAGUGGGUCAAAAGGGUCUUUUCUGGGAAGUGCAUUGAUCCAGACUUAAACAAUAUGCUCCUUGUGCUUAUUCCUUAAGUACCGAAUCCGAAAAGCUUCUCUUAGUUUUGCCCUAUCAGUCUUUGCUCAACCUUCUAUAAACUGGUCAUGAAAAUCAUGGCAAACCGGUUCAAAAUAGUCUUUCUGAAUAUCAUCGCUUCUGAGCAGGCUGGAUUUGUAAAAGGCAAAAAUAUAACAAAUAAUACCAUUAUCACGCAAGAGGUUAUCCAUUCAAUGAAAAGUAAAUAGAAGAAUAGAAUAUGGAUGUAUAUCAAAAUUGACCCCGAGAAAGCCGAUGAUCUUGUGAGCUGGGAGUUCAUUGAUGCGUCACUACAAGCCGUAAGUAUUCCUAUUUCUCUUUGUAAUGUCAUUAUGUCUACUAUUUCGAUUUCUACUAUGCUGAUUCUUUGGAAUGGGACUCCGACGUAAAAGUUCAGACCGACAAGAGAAGUUAGACAAGGUUGUUCGGUAUCUCCCUAUUUGUUUAUACUUUGUAUGGAAUGGUUAGGGAAUUGUAUUCGCUUAGCUAUCAAUUCUGGAGGUUGGUCCCUGAUCCGUCUAUCUCGUACAGGUCCACCAUUGCCUCAUCUCUUCUUUGCAGAUGAUUUGAUCCUCUUUAGCCAAGUGGGUGAACAUCAAGCGAGGGUCAUUAAAGGGGUCUUGGAUAACUUUUGUGAGUUCUUGGGACAUAAGAUUAAUAUGCAGAAGACUAAUAUCUUCUUUUCGAGUUGUGUUGACAGUGAUUUAGAAAUAUGUAUAAGCAACAUUUUUGGUUUUCAAAAAGUGCAAAACCUGGGUCUUUACUUAAAGGUGCCUCUUUUUUAUGACAAGGUAACAAAUAAUACAUUACAAUUUGUUGUGGAAAAGGUGCAUAAUAAACUUUCUAGUUGGAAUGCUAGGAAACUUUCUUUAGCAGGUAGAAUCACUUUGGCUUAAUCGAUUUUUUCUCUCAGUCCCAAGUUAUUUCAUGCAAUCAAUAAUGAUCCCUAAGGGAUUAUGUGAUGAGAUCAAGCUAAUGGACAGACGAUUCAUAUGGGGUUCCCAGAAUGGUCACAAAAAGAUGGCUUUAGUGAGUUGGGAUUCAAUAUGUCAACCUAGAUCACAUAGAGGUCUUAGGCUGAUGCACUUGAGGGAUCAUAAUACUUCCUUCAUGAUGAAGUUAGGCUUUAAUAUUGUAACAAACUCCAACGCUCUCUAGUUUCGAGUUUUAAGAUUGAAAUAUGGAGUCCAAAGUGAUUUGCUGGAGUCUGUUUCGAAAGGGUAUGGCUCUUUUUUUAUGGCGAGCCCUUAUUAAGGUAUGACCUCUUAUUCGUGAGAACUUACUAUGGUCUAUUGGUGAUGGAAAAGAUAUUAAUUGCUAGAGGGAUCAUUGGAUUCCAAAUCUCGGUCCCUUAUACAAACAGAUCCCUUCUGUUUCGAACAUAGAUAUGGAAUGUUCCUUUAGUGAUAUGGUAACAAGUGACGGCUCAUGGAAUCUAGAUUUAUUUUGCAUUUGGGUUACUAAGGAGUUUAUUGCUAAGAUUGUAAGAAUUCCAUCUACUCGUCUAACUGUUGGUCCGGAUAAGAUCAUUUGGUUGGCUACUUCUACUGGUUUUUUCUCCUUAAAAAGUGCAUAUAGUAAAAUUCGAGAGGGAGUUUGGAAUUCAAAAGAGUCUGUUUGGCAGCUCCCUUAGAAGUUUCAAGGACCCCAAAGAGUUAUAUUUUUCAUUUGGCUUGCUCUAAAGCAUUGGCUACUCAAGAAUGCAGAAAGGGUAAGGUGAGGAUUAGGCAAUGACAGUCUUUGUAAAAUUUGCUGACAUGGUUCUGAGAAGGUGUUGCAUGUCCUUCAUGAAUGGAUGACAAAAAACCUCCAAAAUAAACACUCAUUUUGUUCGAGUGGGGUUGAUUGGUGUUGUUCGAGUGGGGUUGAUUGGUCUUGUCUAUUCGGGAUAAUUUCUUGGCGCAUCUGGAAAAAUCGUAAUAUUUUUAUUUUCCAAAACAUAUCUUAGAGUACGGAUGAAAUUAUCAAGAUCUCUUAUAGCUGGGCAAGACAGUAUACUUCUACUUCUAAGUUGUUUUCUUUCAAGCCACAAAGUCUUCCCACUAGUUCACACUUGCCAACCAAUUGGGUAUGCCUUAAUACCAAUGGUUUGGUUAAGAUUGAGGAAGGUUCUGCAGUAGCAAAGGGUCUUGUGCGAGACUAUAAUAAAAAGUGGAUUUUGGGUUUUUGCAGAUACUUGGGUAUUUGCACCGUUUUGGAAGCUGAAUUUUGGGGCAUCUUGGAUGGGUUGAAUCUCUCACUAGAUUAGGGGUUUUAGAACAAUUUAAUUCAAACUGACAACCUUGAAUCCAGUCAUACCGUCCAAAAAGAUACUCUUGGAAAGCGCAAGUCAACUUUGAUUAGGAGAGUACAUUAGCUUUUUGGAAAAGUUUGACAUUGGAAUAUUCAAGAUGUUCCUCGAGAAGAAAAUACUUUCACAGAUGACCUGAUUAAGAUUGUUUGUGACAGGAAAACAAGACUUCGCUUAUUGGAAAAUCCCCCACCGGAGGGAUUAGUUUAAUUUCUUUUAGUAGGCUUAUUUUGUUUCACAAAAAAAGUAUGAUUUAUUUGUUUUACUAUUGUUUUUAUGAUAUCUUAUAACACUUUUUUGUAUUUAAAAGAAAGAUUUUUUGUUGUUUUGUUUUAUUA